GUUUCUUAUCUCUUGCAUCACCGUAGAUAACGCGCCGAGAACUCCAUAGUGUAGUCUGUUGAUGUACUGUUGUGUUGGUUGAUGAGCAUUCUUUAGUCUCGGGCUGCUACGCACUAUGGCCCAUGACAAAUAGCGAGAUAGCGCUGUCACAACCGCUUAAUGCGGCAGUACUUAGAUUAUGGGCGAUGCUCCCGAGAUGGCACCACAAACGACAUCGAAUGCUGGUGGCGGCAGUAACGACUUCCAAGAUUUUGACGAAACACCAGAAACACAUCGGCUCCUUCAGCCUCCGUCUUACAGUACUCAGGUGCUAUUGUGGUCCUGCGAUACCGAAGCCUUUUCUCUCUCUUCUGGCAAGUGUAACUAAUUCGCCGUCUGUGUCUCCGAAUCCGAAUCAUUCAUCGUCACGAAAGUCGAGCAAGAAGAAAGCACAUAGGAAAAGGCGACAAGGAAGUGUGUCACAAUCUGUAGCUGACAGCAAGUACAGCACAAACUCGCCAAGCUCUUCAACUGUCAAUGAUGAGAUUUUUGUCCCUCUGACUGACAGCAAGAGUUCUGCUGCAAUGGAACUGACCAUCUUGGAAGCAUCACCUAUUGAUUCUGCUGAUAUACCAACCGUUCUCGUUCAGCCACCAUCAUCAACACCAUCAAUAACUGCUUCCAAGGAUGAGCAGAUAUUAGAAGCUUGUUGAUAAUGCCCUGAGCUUCGAGAAAGCGGUCUGUGGAGUCCGAAAGGGAUGCAAGGGUUUUGCAUUCCCUCUCUCCGAGGAAGAUCGCAAGCUUUGGAUGACAGCAAUCUCAGGGAAAUAGUUCGCAAUUGCACUGUGCAAGACCCUGAGAAAAGACCAUCAGCUACUCAAGUCCACACGAUGCUGAGCAAGCUGCUGUGAAAAGAAGCAAAGCUGUUGACUAGUGUCUUUGCCUGAAGCUUCGCGCUUUGAUAGUGUUCACAUAACAUUACCAAUUGCGUCUUGGGGUGCGUCUUCGCGGUUUUAGAGUUUGCUGGACGAACUGUCUAUUUGUGCCACGUGCUGAUCGCUUUGUUGUACAUAAGUAUGUAGUAAUUUUAUCGACGCGCUGUGCAAUAAAAUAGCAGUUAAUACUACG